rnacentral:rRNA from 1 species
AGUAAAUAGAUACCCGGGUAGUCCACGCCGUAAACGAUGUCGACUUGGAGGUUGUGCCCUUGAGGCGUGGCUUCCGGAGCUAAACGCGUUAAAGUCGACCGCCUGGGGAGUACGGCCGCAAGGUUAAACUCAAAUGAAUUGACGGGGCCCGCACAAGCGGUGGAGCAUGUGGUUUAAUUCGAUGCAACGCGAAGAACCUUACCUACUCUUGACAUCCAGAGAAUUUAGCAGAGAUGCUUUGGUGCCUUCGGGAACUCUGAGACAGGUGCUGCAUGGCUGUCGUUAGCUCGUGUUGUGAAAUGUUGGGUUAAGUCCCGCAACGAGCGCAACCCUUAUCCUUUGUUGCCAGCGGUUAGGCCGGGAACUCAAAGGAGACUGCCAGUGAUAAACUGGAGGAAGGUGGGGAUGACGUCAAGUCAUCAUGGCCCUUACGAGUAGGGCUACACACGUGCUACAAUGGCGCAUACAAAGAGAAGCGACCUCGCGAGAGCAAGCGGACCUCAUAAAGUGCGUCGUAGUCCGGAUUGGAGUCUGC